rnacentral:tRNA from 1 species
GGGCGUGUAGUUCAGUUGGCUAGAACGUUCGGAUCACACCCGAAAGGUCACAGGUUCGAGUCCUGUCACGCCCACCA